AGCGAACGUUUGCGGCGGGCCUAACACAUGCAAGUCGAACGCACUAGCAAUAGUGAGUGGCGCACGGGUGCGUAACACGUGGGUAAUCAACCCUUCAGCCUGGGAUAACGACUCGAAAGGGUCGCUAAUACCGGAUACGGCGCGAGAGGCUUCGGCUUCUCACGAGAAAGCCACGCAAGGGGCACUGAAGGACGAGCCUGCGGCCCAUCAGCUAGUUGGUGAGGUAAGAGCUCACCAAGGCUAAGACGGGUAGCUGGUCUGAGAGGAUGAUCAGCCACACUGGAACUGAGACACGGUCCAGACUCCUACGGGAGGCAGCAGUGGGGAAUAUUGCGCAAUGGGCGAAAGCCUGACGCAGCCACGCCGCGUGAGCGAUGAAGGCCUGGUCGUAAAGACUCUGUGGGAGAGACGAAGAAAGACCUGUGAAGAGCAGGCCUUGACGGUAGUCUCCUUAGCAAGCACCGGCUAACUCCGUGCCA
rnacentral:rRNA from 1 species